ensembl:snRNA Gm24901 U6 spliceosomal RNA
AUACUCACUUUGGCAGCAUAUAUACUUUUAAAAAUUGAAUGAUACAAAGAAAAUCUGCAUGGCGCCUGCACGAGUAAGACAUGCAAAUUUGAGAAAAGAGUUUGAAAGUA